rnacentral:rRNA from 1 species
AGUUGCUAGGAUUAGACCCGAAACCGAGUGAUCUAGCCAUGGGCAGGUUGAAGGUGAGGUAACACUUACUGGAGGACCGAACCGACUAAUGUUGAAAAAUUAGCGGAUGACUUGUGGCUAGGGGUGAAAGGCCAAUCAAACUCGGAGAUAGCUGGUUCUCCCCGAAAGCUAUUUAGGUAGCGCCUCGGACGAAUACUACUGGGGGUAGAGCACUG